UGGGGAAUAUUGCACAAUGGGCGCAAGCCUGAUGCAGCCAUGCCGCGUGUAUGAAGAAGGCCUUCGGGUUGUAAAGUACUUUCAGCGGGGAGGAAGGGAGUAAAGUUAAUACCUUUGCUCAUUGACGCUACCCGCAGAAGAAGCACCGGCUAACUCCGUGCCAGCAGCCGCGGUAAUACGGAGGGUGCAAGCGUUAAUCGGAAUUACUGGGCGUAAAGCGCACGCAGGCGGUUUGUUAAGUCAGAUGUGAAAUCCCCGGGCUCAACCUGGGAACUGCAUCUGAUACUGGGAAGCUGGCGUCUCGGAGAGGGGGGUGGAAUUCCAAGUGUAGCGGUGAAAUGCGUAGAAAUCUUGAUGAAUACCGGUGGCGAAGGCGGCCCCCUGGACGAAGACUGACGCUCAGGUGCGAAAGCGGGGGGAGCAAACAGG
rnacentral:rRNA from 1 species